GAUGAAGAACGUAGCGAAAUGCGAUACUUGGUGUGAAUUGCAGAAUCCCGUGAACCAUCGAGUCUUUGAACGCAAGUUGCGCCCGAAGCCAUUAGGCCGAGGGCACGCCUGCCUGGGCGUCACACGUCGUUGCCCCCCCAUCUAAUCCUUCGGGAUUGCGGGGGGCGGAUGAUGGCCUCCCGUGCGCCUCGUCGCGCGGUUGGCAUAAUUGCCAAGUCCUCGGCGACGCACGCCACGACAAUCGGUGGUUGCGAAACCUCGGUUGCCCGUUGUGUGCGGUCGUCGCGCAUCGAGGGCUCGAAAAAAUUGCCGGGCUCCGGCUCGACUUUCAACGCGACCCCAGGUCAGGCGGGGUUACCCGCUGAAUUUAAGCAUAUCAAUAAGCGGAGGA
rnacentral:misc_RNA from 1 species